UGGCUCAGUGGGUAAAGCGUCUGCCUGGAAUGCGGGAGACCCGGGUUCGAUCCCUGG
rnacentral:tRNA from 1 species